GCGUUAUCCGGAUCAUUGGGUUUAAAGGGUCCGUAGGCGGGCUAUUAAGUCAGAGGUGAAAGUUUGCAGCUCAUCUGUAAAAUUGCCUUUGAUACUGAUAGUCUUGAAUUGUAGUGAAGUGGUUAGAAUAUGUGGUGUAGCGGUGAAAUGCAUAGAUAUCACAUAGAAUACCGAUUGCGAAGGCAGAUCACUAACUAUAUAUUGACGCUGAGGGACGAAAGCGUGGGGAGCGAACGGGAUUAGAUACCCCGGUAGUCCACGCCGUAAACGAUGGAUACUAGCUGUUGGAUUUUUUCAGUGGCUAAGCGAAAGUGAUAAGUAUCCCACCUGGGGAGUACGUUCGCAAGAAUGAAACUCAAAGGAAUUGACGGGGGCCCGCACAACCGGUGGAGCAUGUGGUUUAAUU
rnacentral:rRNA from 1 species